rnacentral:rRNA from 1 species
UACGUAGGUGGCAAGCGUUGUCCGGAAUUAUUGGGCGUAAAGCGCGCGCAGGCGGUGCUCUAAGUUAGAUGUGAAAACUCUGGGCUCAACCCAGAGCCUGCAUCUAAAACUGGAGUGCUAGAGUUCUGGAGGGGGUAGCGGAAUUCCUGGUGUAGCGGUGAAAUGCGUAGAUAUCAGGAGGAACACCGGUGGCGAAGGCGGCUACCUGGACAGAAACUGACGCUGAGGCGCGAAAGCUAGGGGAGCAAACAGG